CUCUGACUCCAUUCUUCAGUUUCAAUCAGGGACCGUCCCUCAGUAGGUUUGGACCUCUUGCUGUGCCACCUCCAUGAGGAUCUGGAGCUGCCUGCUGAUGUAGUCUACAAGGCAACCAACGCAGCAAGACCUGGAAUGGGGGAAGAAUGAGUGAACUCACCAAAGGCACGCCUCAAGCGAGGUGGAAGGCUCUGGCGCUUCACAGUCAGAUAAUACACGGGAACUCCUGACAGGGUGAGGGCACAGCUGCCCCCCGUGUUCCAGGGGUCAGAGUAGAGAGACAGGCCCACGAUGAAGAAGCAAACCAGGGUAAAGAUAACUGCAAUAGCCAAGGGCACCUUUGGCACAAAAGCAGAAGCACCAGAAGUUUUAUGUUUAAGUCCAGAGUCACUACAUCAUUUGGGGAAUAAAUAAGAUGCUGGCACGAAUGCACUGCCAUGACAUAUUCAGGGAUACAGCCAUAGGGUACUCAUAGCUACCUUGAAGGGCCUUGGAUGCUGGGGGAAACGAUACCGAUGAAUGAGCAUCCCCAAGGUUGCCAUGGCAAUAAAGAGCCAGCGGGAGAAGGAGGCCAAGUUGAUGAGCUGGUAGAUGUCCCCUGAUCUUAUCACCAUAAAAACCACCAUUGGAUACUGCAAACAAAAGACAUACAACAGAACCAGAGUAAGAUAUACUGUAGUGGUGAUUGGAGAGGAAACGGCACUAACACAGAUGGGACAAAAUGGCUAACCAUGAACAGCACAGCUGGUAGCGGUGUCUGUCUGCGGAUGUGGAUCAUGGAGAAGAGAGCCGGCCAGUGGCCCUCCCUGCCCCCCACAAACAGCAUCCUUUUGAAACAAAGGCAGACGUGCAAGAGAGUUAUUUGUUUAAGCAACUGUGUAAAAUAAAGUCCUUAAAAGUUAA